AUUGAACGCUGGCGGCGUGCCUAAUACAUGCAAGUCGAACGGAGUGGCGCACGGGUGAGUAAUAUAUAGCUAAUCUGCCCCUUGCUGGAGGACACCAGUGAGAACUGACUGCUAAUACUCCAUAGCAAGGGAUGAGACUAUAUCGUAUCAGCUAGUCGGUGGGGUAACGGCCUACCGAGGCGAUGACGCGUAACUGGUCUGAGAGGAUGAUCAGUCAAAUUGGAACUGAGACACGGUGCAAGAUCCUACGGGAGGCAGCAGUAGGGAAUAUUGCGAAAUGGGGGAAACCCUGACGCGGCAACGCCGAGUGGAGGAUGACACUUUGCGGAGAGUAAACUCCUUUUGUUAGGUGAGCGGUACCUAACGAAUAAGCACCGGCUAACUCCGUGCCAGCAGCCGCGGUAAUUC
rnacentral:rRNA from 1 species